UUGGCAUCCAUGCAGGUUUCCCUUUGGUGCCAGAUAAGGAGGAGAGAGGAGGGAAUAAUCACCAAAAAGAUGAGAGAGAAUCAGCUGAUGGAGGUUCAGCUGCUCCUGCCAGGUACAGGGCUGGCACAUUUGUUCCUGUUGGGUUUAGAAGGCAGGACAUGAAGAAGGAGGAAAGGAAACUUUCUGUUACUCUACAAGUUGCACAGGACAUCUUUCUGCCGGUCAAAAAUGUUGGGAGUGAAGUGCUGGUUUGUUCUUCCAAGAGACUGGAGAGUGACCAAGCUCAGAAGAAUUCCUCUUGUGAUAAUUCAGGUACUUGGAAGAUUGUCUUCUUGAAUUAACAUCUGAUUUUGUUUUGAUUGUUUUUUAGGAAGAGCUAGUAAGUGUGGGAUUUCUUUAAUUUCUUGCUCCCUUCUUUGGUGUCUG
rnacentral:lncRNA from 12 species